AUGGCCGGUGCAAAAGGAGUGCAGCAGCACACCAUCUCGGGUGGUUCCCAGUCGCGGCUAUCACAGGAUGGCUCCCAGUCGCCGCCUCCGGAGGAGCAGCGAGGACGCAGCCGGUCCAGGCACGACCAUCAUCGUGAGGUUGUGGUUAGGGAGAUCGUGCGCGAGACCGCAGUCAGCGGUAGCGUACCCAUCACCUUGCCGAUGCUCAUGCACUCGAACUACAACGAGUGGGCGUUUAUCAUGGAGUGCAACCUCCAUGCGGCGAGCCUCUGGGCUCCCAUGGAGGACGACCUGGUCGAGAGAAAGGAGGACAGGAAAGCCGUGGCGGCGCUUAUGCGCGACUCACCGCCGAAGAUGCACAACAUGCUCGCGGGUGAAGGCAAGUGCCAAGGAGGCGUGGGAAGCCAUCCGUGCCCAGCGCCUCGGCAGCAACCGCGUGCGUGA
rnacentral:rRNA from 1 species